AAAGGAAGCAUGAAGCAGAACAUCAGGAUGAUGGCUGAUUCAUAAAAGAAGGGGACGACUCAGGAAGAGUCAGGACGGCAUCGGAUUAUGCCAGGAUGUUUCAGGAUGAAACCAGGGACACCUCCAGGACGGAGAAGAGAGCUCACAAAGGAAGCUGAGCGGGUCACAGAUGACCAAGGGAUUUGAGUCAGGAUGAUUUAGGAUAGCCCGUCAGGAUGAAAGUUGGACGAUGCGAAGGACAGCCGGUUAGGAUAACCGCAGGAAAAGUUUUCAGGGAUUGAGCAGGGAGCACUGAGGUAGCUGGAUUGCUAUAAAACGAACCGGGGGCACUGUGAAAACAGUGCCCCCAACUUUUUAU
rnacentral:other from 1 species